ACCUCUGUAGCGCAAUGGUAGCGCGUCGCUUGCGUGCUUUGGUGCCUCAGGCGCUCCCCUCAGUCUGCAAGUGGAGUUAGUGGGUUCGACUCCCACCAGGGGUU